rnacentral:rRNA from 1 species
UACGUAGGGUGCAAGCGUUGUCCGGAAUUAUUGGGCGUAAAGCGCGUGUAGGCGGCUUGUUAAGUCGGGUGUGAAAGCCCUCAGCUCAACUGAGGAAGGGCGCCCGAAACUGGCGAGCUUGAGUGUCGGAGAGGAUGGCGGAAUACCCCAAGUAGAGGUGAAAUUCGUAGAUAUGGGGUGGAACACCGGUGGCGAAGGCGGCCAUCUGGACGAUAACUGACGCUGAGACGCGAAAGCGUGGGGAGCAAACAGG